rnacentral:misc_RNA from 1 species
UUUCCGUAGGUGAACCUGCGGAAGGAUCAUUAAAGUUAUAGUCCCCCGGCCCCCUGGGCUGGGGUCUUCUAUACCACCCUUUGUUUAUUACACCUUUGUUGCUUUGGCAGGCCUGCCCUCGGGCUGCUGGCUCCGGCCGGCUCGCGUCUGCCAGAUGACCUAAACUCUGUUUGUAUAUGAAGUCUGAGUACUAUAUAAUAGUUAAAACUUUCAACAACGGAUCUCUUGGUUCUG